AGGACGAACGCUGGCGGCGUGCUUAACACAUGCAAGUCGAGCGGUAAGGCCUUUCGGGGUACACGAGCGGCGAACGGGUGAGUAACACGUGGGUGAUCUGCCCUGCACUCUGGGAUAAGCUUGGGAAACUGGGUCUAAUACCGGAUAUGACUGCAUGCCGCAUGGUGUGUGGUGGAAAGAUUUAUCGGUGCAGGAUGGGCCCGCGGCCUAUCAGCUUGUUGGUGGGGUAAUGGCCUACCAAGGCGACGACGGGUAGCCGACCUGAGAGGGUGACCGGCCACACUGGGACUGAGACACGGCCCAGACUCCUACGGGAGGCAGCAGUGGGGAAUAUUGCACAAUGGGCGAAGCCUGAUGCAGCGACGCCGCGUGAGGGAUGAAGGCCUUCGGUUGUAAACCUCUUUCAGCAGGGACGAAGCGUGAGUGACGGUACCUGACAGAAGAAGCACCGGCUAACUACGUGCCAGCAGCCG
rnacentral:rRNA from 1 species